UUGUUUUAAGACCAGAUGGUAUGAAAGCAAGAUCCAGUUUUUUUUUUGGUUGUGUUCUUACGGAUUUUAAAAGAACUUCCUGGUGAGUUAUAGCUGGCACACCCCCAGAAAGUCAUUAUAAAUAGCGUAGAACCUAAUUUGGACGUCAGUGUUUACCACAGAUUAAACCAAUACACUAUUUCAAAAUGUUCAAACUUUUCGUCUUUUUGGCUCUUGUAGCUCUCGCUUUGGCUGCGCCUAGACCGGAACCCCAAAUUCUGGGAACUAGUCUGUAUGGAGGUUACGCAGGAAUCGCCGGUUACACUGGUUUAGGAUAUGCCCCAUACUCCUAUGGAUUAGGCUACAUCUAAUUGUUACGAAAAUAUAAAUAAAAUUUAAAUAGCAAAUA